rnacentral:ncRNA from 1 species
AUUUGUUUAACUAUGGCAAAAGGAAAAAUUUUAGCGGCUUAAUUGCAUAAAAAAUUUUUAUAUUAUUAAUCUAAGUAAUCUUUUUUAUUAAUUAGCAGUUAGUAUUUUAGCAAAACUUUCGUUUUUUAAGAUGUCGCUUUAUAAAAGGGGAUAGGACACAGUGCCAGCAUCCGCGGUUAAUCUGUUUUCUUUAUUUUCUAUUGGAAUAUAUUCAGAUGUUUAGUUUUGAGGUUUGGUGAAAUUUUCUUAAGAUAGUAUGAUACAUUUGUUUUUUUUAAAGGUAGUGUUAAGCGACAGGGAUUAGAUACCCCAUUAGCUAUUACUUUAAAUUUUUCUAGUUUUAUAACUAAAAUAGUUUGGCAGCGAGUUAUUCCUAUUGGGGGAAGGUGUGACAUAAAGGACGAUCCGCCCAUUAAAUUACCUAUAUUAUGUUGGUGUAUAUCUGGUUGUAUAUUAUUGCUUUAUAGCUGAAUUUGUGUAUAAUUAAUUAAGCCAAGUCUAUGUGCUGCAUGUACAGGGGUUCAUGCGUUACUUUAAUAAAUUUUGAAUUGUAAGAGUUAUUCAUUAAUUUAGGACUCAAAAGUAAUAUAAAAUUAUUUUGUUUAUAUGAAAUGGGUUUAACUUGGGUACACACCGCCCGUCACCCUCGACAUAUGUUGAGGUAAGUCGUAACAUGGUAACCCCAAAUGAAUUUGGGGUUAAUUACAGUUUUCU